UCUAGGGUGGGACGCCGGUGGGGGGAAAUCCUUGCUCCCUUCCGCGCAUCGCGCAGAGAGAGAGAGAGGCUGCAUUUGGGAAGGAGGGAAGCCCUCUCUGAUCUUCUCUCUCCUCUUCUCCUGCCUUGUUCUUGAGCUGCUCCGCUUUGCCCCGGGUUAAGGAGGGCUUCCUCAUCGAGGACAGCAGAAGCAGAAAAAUACCCACACAGCCCCCCAGCCUGGUCAAGAAGCAUCCUCCUCUUCUCUCCUAGUGGAUCUGUUUUCAGGUUCAUGAUGGUGGUAUUGACAAUCCUCGCUUCAUUGAUGCUGGCUGCAGUACACUCGCAAGAAGCAGAGGAUACCAUAACAUACACGCAAUGCACUGAUGGUUAUGAAUGGGAUCCUGUCAUGCAGCAAUGCAAAGAUAUUGACGAAUGUGAAAUUGUGCCGGAUGCAUGCAAAGGCGGGAUGAAAUGUGUGAACCACUUUGGAGGAUACCUCUGUCUGCCCAGAACUGCUCAGAUCAUUGUUAACAACGGCCAGGAAGGAACAGCCUCUGAAAACACCAGUGGCGGAAACAGCAACCCUGUUCGGCGGACCCCUCCCGAUAACGUCCCUUCUCGAAUCCAGUGCGCAGUUGGAUAUGAGGCGACAGAUCAUGCUACGUGUC